CAGUUUAACGGCCGCGGUACCCUAACCGUGCGAAGGUAGCAUAAUCACUUGUUUCUUAAAUAGAGACUAGUAUCAACGGCAUCACGAAGACUAUUCUGUCUCCCCCCUAAAAUCAAUGAAACUGAUCUCCUCGUGAAGAAGCGAGGAUAUAUAUAUAAGACGAGAAGACCCCAUGGAGCUUUAAACGAACUUCAAUUGUUCCUACCCAUAACAUACAAAUUGAACACCCCCUGAUAGUUAGUUUUAGGUUGGGGUGACCGCGGAGUAAAACAAAACCUCCACAAUGAAUGAAAUAAAAUUCUUAUAAAAGAACCACAAUUCUAAUAAUCAAAAAUUUGACAUAAAUUGACCCAAACACUUGAUCAAUGAACCAAGUUACCCUGGGGAUAACAGCGCAAUCCAUUUUAAGAGCCCAUAUCGACAAAUGGGUUUACGACCUCGAUGUUG
rnacentral:rRNA from 1 species